GACGAACGCUGGCGGCGUGCUUAACACAUGCAAGUCGAACGGUAAGGCCCUUCGGGGUACACGAGUGGCGAACGGGUGAGUAACACGUGGGUGAUCUGCCCUGCACUUCGGGAUAAGCCUGGGAAACUGGGUCUAAUACCGGAUAGGACCACUGCCUGCAGGGGUGGUGGUGGAAAGCUUUUGCGGUGUGGGAUGGGCCCGCGGCCUAUCAGCUUGUUGGUGGGGUGAUGGCCUACCAAGGCGACGACGGGUAGCCGGCCUGAGAGGGUGACCGGCCACACUGGGACUGAGAUACGGCCCAGACUCCUACGGGAGGCAGCAGUGGGGAAUAAUGCACAAUGGGCGCAAGCCUGAUGCAGCGACGCCGCGUGAGGGAUGACGGCCUUCGGGUUGUAAACCUCUUUCAGCACCGACGAAGCGCAAGUGACGGUAGGUGCAGAAGAAGGACCGGCCAACUACGUGCCAGCAGCCGCGGUAA
rnacentral:rRNA from 1 species